UGAUGACGAGACGCUAAAGCGUUGAAGCAGUGUAUGUCAGACUUCCAAGAAAAGCUCGCAAUGUCACAAAUAAGAAAUGCCUGUACCAUAACCGACACAGGUGGGUAGGUAGAGUAUACUAAGGGGCGCGAGAUAACUCUCUCUAAGGAACUCGGCAAAAUGACUCCGUAACUUCGGGAGAAGGAGUGCCUUAUUUAUAAGGUUGCAAUAACAAGAUCCAAGCAACUGUUUAUCAAAAACACAGGUCUCCGCUAAGUCGUAAGACGAUGUAUGGGGGCUGACGCCUGCCCAGUGCCAGAAGGUUAAAGAAGUUGGUUAGUGUAUGCGAAGCUGAUGACUGAAGCCCUGGUGAACGGCGGCCGUAACAAUAACGGUCCUAAGGUAGCGAAAUUCCUUGUCGGGUAAGUUCCGACCCGCACGAAAGGCGUAAUGAUUUGGAUACUGUCUCGGAGAGAGGCUCGGUGAAAUAGACUUGUCUGUGAAGAUGCGGACUACCUGCACCAGGACAGAAAGACCCUAUGAAGCUUUACUGUAACUUGAAAUUGGAAUUGGACUUUGCUUGCGCAGUAUAGGUGGGAAGCGUUGAAAAUAUUCUUGCGGGAGUAUUGGAGCUAUCAGUGAGAUACCACUCUUGUAAUGUUAGAUUUCUAACUUUGAACCAUAAUCUGGUCAAAGAACAGUUUCAGGUGGGCAGUUUGACUGGGGCGGUCGCCUCCCAAAUGGUAACGGAGGCGUACAAAGGUUUCCUCUGAACGGAUAGAAAUCGUAUCUAGAGUGUAAAGGCAUAAGGAAGCUUGACUGUGAGACCUACAAGUCGAGCAGGGACGAAAGUCGGUCUUAGUGAUCUGACGGUACUGAGUGGAAAGGCCGUCACUCAACGGAUAAAAGUUACUCUAGGAUAACAGGCUGAUCUCCCCCAAGAGUUCACAUCGACGGGGAGGUUUGGCACCUCGAUGUCGGCUCAUCGCAUCCUGGGGCGGUAGUACGUCCCAAGGGUUGGGCUGUUCGCCCAUGAAAGCGGUACGCGAGCUGGGUUCAGAACGUCGUGAGACAGUUCGGUCCAUAUCCGGUGUAGGCGCUAGAAUAUUGAGAGGAGCCUUCUUUAGUACGAGAGGACCGAGAAGGACACACCGCUGGUGUACCAGUUAUCGUGCCAACGGUAAACGCUGGGUAGCUAUGUGUGGAGUGGAUAACCGCUGAAAGCAUCUAAGUGGGAAGCCCACCUCGAGAUGAGUAUUCGC
rnacentral:rRNA from 1 species